rnacentral:rRNA from 1 species
UACAGGGGGUGCAAACGUUGCUCGGAAUCACUGGGCGUAAAGCGCACGUAGGCGGAUUGUUAAGUCAGGGGUGAAAUCCUGGAGCUCAACUCCGAAAUGGCAUUGGAAACUACCUUGCUCGAGGGUUGGAGGGGGGACUGGAAUGCUUGGUGUAGCAGUGAAAUGCGUAGAUAUCAAGCGGAACACCAGUGGCGAAGGCGAGUCCCUGGACAACUCCUGACACUGAGGCACGAAAGCUAGGGGAGCAAACAGG